AACUCUCUGAUUCUGUCAUGGGUUUCAAUGUCAUUUCAAUGAUGGCCUCAACAUGUGUGGGGCAAAAGCACAAAUGAGAAAUCUCAACCAAAGUUCAUACUGUUUGAGUUCAUCAGAUAUAAAAAUGGAAAAGGUGACAGCAGAAGACAGGAACAAAGCCAGCCAUCCCAAAGCUAUUUCCCUUGGCUGCUGCGUUGAUGCCGUCCUCCCUGCUUCCUCCAAGGACAGGCCAGCGCAGGGCUGAGGGGCACCGAGAAGCACUGCCCUCACACCACUCCCCAUCGCAGGGGGCAGCAGGCCCUCCUUCACCCUUCGUCUCACGCUGUAUUUUUUGGAGUUGCCUUUAUCAGUUUAAGGUACUGUGGCUCCUUGCUGUUCCAGAUUGCUACAAGCUGUUAUCAAGAACAGAUGUGGGGUUUUAUCAAAUACCCCCACAGCAUCUGCUGACAAGAUGACCUAGUGCCUCCACUGAAACGAUCACUAAUGUGGUGAAUCAUAAAACUUAGCUUUUAAUAUUAAACUAACUUUGUGCUCAAGAGAUAAAUUACAUUCGUUCAUGUAUAUUUUCUUCUAUAUAUACAUUUUCUUUUCUAUAAAUAUAUACAUACACAUACAAAUAUGUGCUUAUACAUACAUGUGUGUGUGCUGUUGGGUAAAAUUUAAUUAAUAAAUCUAUAUUAAAAUUUUGUUUAGAAUUUUUGUGUCUAUGUUCAUGAAAGAUACUAGUCUAUACAGUUUCCUUUCCUCGGAAGGUCUUCGGGUUUUGUACCAGAGUAUCAGAGGAAACAGGGAAAUGUUUCCUCUUCUGUUUUGUGGAAUUCCUAUAGUAUUGGAAUUAUUUACUCUUUAAAGUUUGUUAUGACUCAACUGAA
rnacentral:lncRNA from 1 species